rnacentral:rRNA from 1 species
UACAGAGGUCCCAAGCGUUGUUCGGAUUCAUUGGGCGUAAAGGGUGCGUAGGUGGCGCCAUAAGUCAGGUGUGAAAUCUCGGGGCUCAACCCCGAAACUGCACUUGAUACUGUGGUGCUGGAGUACUGGAGAGGAGAUUGGAAUUUACGGUGUAGCAGUGAAAUGCGUAGAUAUCGUAAGGAAGACCAGUGGCGAAGGCGAAUCUCUGGACAGUUACUGACACUGAGGCACGAAGGCCAGGGGAGCAAACGGG